AUUUUUGAACCAUUUUAAAAUCUCUUGUU
rnacentral:sRNA from 1 species